GAUGAACGCUGGCGGCGUGCUUAACACAUGCAAGUCGAACGGAAAGGCCCAAGCUUGCUUGGGUACUCGAGUGGCGAACGGGUGAGUAACACGUGGGUGAUCUGCCCUGCACUUCGGGAUAAGCCUGGGAAACUGGGUCUAAUACCGGAUAGGACCACAUUUUGGAUGGUGUGGUGGAAAGUUUUUCGGUGUGGGAUGAGCUCGCGGCCUAUCAGCUUGUUGGUGUGGUAAUGGCCUACCAAGGCGUCGACGGGUAGCCGGCCUGAGAGGGUGUACGGCCACAUUGGGACUGAGAUACGGCCCAGACUCCUACGGGAGGCAGCAGUGGGGAAUAUUGCACAAUGGGCGCAAGCCUGAUGCAGCGACGCCGCGUGGGGGAUGACGGCCUUCGGGUUGUAAACUCCUUUCGCUAGGGACGAAGCGUUUUUGUGACGGUACCUGGAGAAGAAGCACCGGCUAACUACGUG
rnacentral:rRNA from 1 species